UGGGGAAUAUUGGACAAUGGGCGAAAGCCUGAUCCAGCCAUGCCGCGUGUGUGAAGAAGGUCUUCGGAUUGUAAAGCACUUUAAGUUGGGAGGAAGGGCAGUAAGCGAAUACCUUGCUGUUUUGACGUUACCGACAGAAUAAGCACCGGCUAACUCUGUGCCAGCAGCCGCGGUAAUACAGAGGGUGCAAGCGUUAAUCGGAAUUACUGGGCGUAAAGCGCGCGUAGGUGGUUCGUUAAGUUGAGUGUGAAAGCCCCGGGCUCAACCUGGGAACUGCAUCCAAAACUGGCGAGCUAGAGUAGGGCAGAGGGUGGUGGAAUUUCCUGUGUAGCGGUGAAAUGCGUAGAUAUAGGAAGGAACACCAGUGGCGAAGGCGACCACCUGGGCUCAUACUGACACUGAGGUGCGAAAGCGUGGGGAGCAAACAGG
rnacentral:rRNA from 1 species